rnacentral:rRNA from 1 species
GGGUUGUGAGGUUAAGCGACUAAGCGUACACGGUGGAUGCCCUGGCAGUCAGAGGCGAUGAAGGGCGUGCUAAUCUGCGAUAAGCGCCGGUAAGGUGAUAUGAACCGUUAUAACCGGCGAUACCCGAAUGGGGAAACCCAGUGUGAUUCGUCACACUAUCAUUAACUGAAUCCAUAGGUUAAUGAGGCGAACCGGGGGAACUGAAACAUCUAAGUACCCCGAGGAAAAGAAAUCAACCGAGAUUCCCCCAGUAGCGGCGAGCGAACGGGGAGGAGCCCAGAGCCUGAAUCAGCAUGUGUGUUAGUGGAAGCGUCUGGAAAGGCGCGCGAUACAGGGUGACAGCCCCGUACACAAAAGCGCAUGUGCUGUGAGCUCGAUGAGUAGGGCGGGACACGUGGUAUCCUGUCUGAAUAUGGGGGGACCAUCCUCCAAGGCUAAAUACUCCUGACUGACCGAUAGUGAACCAGUACCGUGAGGGAAAGGCGAAAAGAACCCCGGCGAGGGGAGUGAAAAAGAACCUGAAACCGUGUACGUACAAGCAGUGGGAGCACCCUUCGGGGUGUGACUGCGUACCUUUUGUAUAAUGGGUCAGCGACUUAUAUUCUGUAGCAAGGUUAACCGUAUAGGGGAGCCGGAGGGAAACCGAGUCUUAACCGGGCGUUAAGUUGCAGGGUAUAGACCCGAAACCCGGUGAUCUAGCCAUGGGCAGGUUGAAGGUUGGGUAACACUAACUGGAGGACCGAACCGACUAAUGUUGAAAAAUUAGCGGAUGACCUGUGGCUGGGGGUGAAAGGCCAAUCAAACCGGGAGAUAGCUGGUUCUCCCCGAAAGCUAUUUAGGUAGCGCCUCGUGAAUUCAUCUCCGGGGGUAGAGCACUGUUUCGGCUAGGGGGCCAUCCCGGCUUACCAACCCGAUGCAAACUGCGAAUACCGGAGAAUGUUAUCACGGGAGACACACGGCGGGUGCUAACGUCCGUCGUGAAGAGGGAAACAACCCAGACCGCCAGCUAAGGUCCCAAAGUCAUGGUUAAGUGGGAAACGAUGUGGGAAGGCCCAGACAGCCAGGAUGUUGGCUUAGAAGCAGCCAUCAUUUAAAGAAAGCGUAAUAGCUCACUGGUCGAGUCGGCCUGCGCGGAAGAUGUAACGGGGCUAAACCAUGCACCGAAGCUGCGGCAGCGAACGUAUCACCCAAGACAACUUUACGGAGUUGACGAUUGACGGAGCGAAGCGACGUCAAAGCGUUCAUUAAAGUCGAGUUGGCUUAGGGAUACGUUCGUUGGGUAGGGGAGCGUUCUGUAAGCCUGUGAAGGUGUGUCGUGAGGCAUGCUGGAGGUAUCAGAAGUGCGAAUGCUGACAUAAGUAACGAUAAAGCGGGUGAAAAGCCCGCUCGCCGGAAGACCAAGGGUUCCUGUCCAACGUUAAUCGGGGCAGGGUGAGUCGACCCCUAAGGCGAGGCCGAAAGGCGUAGUCGAUGGGAAACGGGUUAAUAUUCCCGUACUUGGUGUUACUGCGAAGGGGGGACGGAGAAGGCUAUGUUGGCCGGGCGACGGUUGUCCCGGUUUAAGCGUGUAGGUGUGUGUUCCAGGUAAAUCCGGUUCACUUUAACACUGAGGCGUGACGACGAGGCACUACGGUGCUGAAGCAACAAAUGCCCUGCUUCCAGGAAAAGCCUCUAAGCAUCAGGUAACAUCAAAUCGUACCCCAAACCGACACAGGUGGUCAGGUAGAGAAUACCAAGGCGCUUGAGAGAACUCGGGUGAAGGAACUAGGCAAAAUGGUGCCGUAACUUCGGGAGAAGGCACGCUGACACGUAGGUGAAGUGAUUUACUCAUGGAGCUGAAGUCAGUCGAAGAUACCAGCUGGCUGCAACUGUUUAUUAAAAACACAGCACUGUGCAAACACGAAAGUGGACGUAUACGGUGUGACGCCUGCCCGGUGCCGGAA